rnacentral:lncRNA from 1 species
UGAGUUCUAACAGAAAUCAUCCUUCAAAAAAUGAAAACAGAACAAUCACUAAUCAACAAUUUUGAUUAAACAUUAUGUUAUAUUUUCAUAUAUAUUAUUUAAUUGAUACCAAUUGACUUCUAACAGAAAUCAUCCUUCAAAAAAUGAAAACGGAAAAUUCCAACCCACUAAAGGAAGAAAUCAAAUAAUUCCAAGGUUUCCCCUAGCUAUUUCUUUACUUCUAGUCACAGAGCUGCUAAAUGCUUUAGAGCGUGUUUGGAUUAGUUUAUUUGAGGUUAUUGUGAGAAUGCUUGAAAGAAAAUAUGAAAACAGCUUAUAAUAUGUUC